ensembl:lncRNA
AGAAGGCAUACACAGUAGACCAUAAGUUAUGAAGACCAGCUGAGUUCGAUUCUAAGCAGUAUUUAAAGAAGCUUGAGUGAAUCACAUUUCUGCGAACUUCUAUUUAGAAUGAAGACGCUCCUCAUCUUCAACCAGUACCUGAUAUCAGGAUGAAGAUCCUUCAGUUCAGGAUGAAGAUCUUCCUCUCCACCCUCUACCUGAUCUCAGGCCCAGUGUGCUGCUCUGAUGUGUUCGGCUAUUCAGGAGGAAGCGUCCUUUUAUUCUCUGAUCUGCAGUGGGAUGUAAACAAGACAAGAUAUAUUUGCAGGGUGGAACAAAGUGGCUGUCUAGAUAUAAUGAAGGAUCAGACUAAGGUCAGGUCUGUCACUAACGGGAGGUUCAUGAUGUAUUCAAAUGUAGAUGGAGAGUUUACAGUGUUGAUCAGAGAGCUGAAGCCUCAGGAUUCUGCCGUGUACAGAUUUGGAGUUGGGAAUGAAAAGCAUAAGGACAUCAAGCUGACCGUUCAGAGUGAUUCUUGUUGUGGGGGAAUUACAAAAACGAAUGCUUAUCUAGGAGAGACGGCCAACUUCGACUGUAACCAUCCAGAUGAGUUCAAGAUGAAAAGCAAGUACCUCAUCAACCUCAAUGAUCAAAAUACAAUUAGAAGAAUAAUUUGCACUGGACAAGCGUCUCAGAAGAAGCAGAAAGACAGAUUCUCCAUCUCUGAUGACAGAAGCUCUAACGUCUUCAGUGUGAACAUCAGUGAUGUGACAGAAGAUGAUGUAGGAGUUUAUCUGUGUGGAGUGUGGAAGAAUCAGAAGUCAGUGGGUUAUUACUCCUACUUCAGAGAGAUUCAGCUGAAAGUUUCUGCUCCAGGUUCCUCUAUCAUCACUGUGUGUGUCUGUGGGACUCUGUUGCUGAUUGGAGGAGCAGCACUGAUCUUCUACAGACGGAGAAACCACAUGAUACAGGACUCAGCUUCAACUGGCCAGAGAACAGACAAAAAUAAUGAAGUGGAUGAAAAUAACCUCAGUAGCUCAAUUAAGACAAAAAAUAUGGGAUACAGUAUUUUUCCACAUCUCAGAAUAAAAUCCAUUAUACGUGGACUGCAGAAUGUUUCUCUGUGA